UGUCAGUCUCCGCAUUUCCCCCACCUUCUUCUUCCCCAUCCGUCCUCUAGCUCUAGCUCUGGAUCUGGUAGCCUCGCCAACCAUGACCUCCUCCCUUUGCUUCGAGCUACUCUCCACACUUGCUCUGCCCUCUUUCUCGUAUGCAGACCGAUCCAAUUUCAGUUCGGGCGCGCGCUGUGGACUGCAUCUUGCUCUUGCUGCUCCGGUCCCAACGGCUCCAGAUCUCUCGCUCGGGAUGGCAGGCAGAAAACAAGCCGGAAUUUUUUCCAUGCAACGGUUCUGCAUGCACGGAGGGAGUAUUAUGGUAUAAUACUACUCGUACGGUAAAACCAAAACGUACACGAUUCUUCCCCCUCCUCUACCUAUCCCCAUCUAGGUUUUCUCUCCUCAGCACGCAUCCCGAUCCCGUGUGGCCAUUAUCUUCUUCCUCACCUCUUCUUUCCCUUGGUCUCUUCUUUCCUCUUCCUCUCCAAAACAAGAAAAGGUCAAAGAUCUUGGCAUCUCAAUUCUCAUGCCAUGGAUCCAGCCAUCUGGAUGGUUUCCCUCUGCCGACCUGAAAGAUAGCACAUCUUUUCUGCGUGGCUUCGACGUCUGUCGAAGCUCCGGCGGCCGCAGUCGAUGAUGAGUUGAUGGCCAACACGGCGACUGCCAAACCUCUCUUCGUGAUUGGAUUUCUUGUUCCGCGGUGUCAAGAGGCCGGCUGAUACUAAUUCAACUUAUCUUCUUGUUCGGAUCUCCUCGCGGACGGCUCUAUGUGUUCAUUGUGUAAACACAGAUCGAUCUGACCUGAUAAUUAGCUGCUUAUGCCCGCUUGAUGGCCAGCUAGUCUCCUCUGCUUCAGAUACGAUGAUUUCUCUGAGACUCUGACAUCCAACAGCUGUGAGGAAUUUGAUCGCUACAGUGAUACUACUGGUGCUGUUCUUUUCUUAUUAUUCAAGACAAGUGACAAACCCAAUCAUUAAGAAGAAAGCAAAUUUCUACAAAUGCAUGUUCUUGUUUCUGUGGACAAAUGGGCAAAGACCUGUUCGCGACACACGGACUAGUCCCAAAAUGAGGAAAGAUGGGCGAAUACUACACAUGGCGCCACUUGGUUGCUUCUCAGUCGACACACAAUUGAUUUUAGUCCCGCAGGCAGAUUCCAGCCUAACCACCCAAAACGCCAGGAAGAAAAGAAGAUGCGCCUGAAGAUGCUAUAGUUUCUUCAGUGGGAACGGAAUGGGAAGUCUGAAUCCCCGCAUCUAGCAUAUGUUUUCCGUCUUCCUCCUUGGGCUCUCCACGUGCUGAUCGAGUGAGAAUUCCACUGCUAGUCUUGUUUUGUGGUUUGUAGAUUUGAUUCGGGAUUUUGGUGUCGAUCCAUAACCCUGUCUGCAGCCAUGGAUCUCCCAGUGCAGUUGUCUGUUACAAGGGCAACUGGGCAACAGACAGCUCUUCUUGUGAUGAAUUUUCCGAUGGGCUACUUUUGAGAAGUUGCGACUUAUUCACCACAAUUGUCACAUCUUAUUGGGGUAGGCAUUGCCUCGACAGGCAAUGCCACGUUUUGGUGGGUUGUCUGUAGCAACGAUAAAUUUUCAGGCUUGUAUCUUGAUUAAAUUUUGUCUGGUUACGGGCAGGAAUUCUCUACUGUAGUCACUAGUAAGAAAGGUUUUCUUUACAAAUGCCCGUUUUUGUUUGUGUGGAGAAACCGGCAAAGACCUCUUGAUCUCCUCGCCGCUGGCUGUGUACACAAUGUCCGAUUCGACCUUGUUUGCCCAUGUUUACUAUGUGGUGUUCAUUGUGUAAACACGGAUCGAUCAGAGCUGAUAAUGAACUGAUUAUGCCCGCUGCUAGAAUGAGGCCGGCAGCCAAUGACAAAGCUGAGGCUGAGAAGAUACUAAACAUGAAAAAAGCAGGAGGAGAAGGUGAGUCCAGGUACUCGGCUAGUGUGGGCAUUGCAAGGCAGUGUCAGGCUAUCGUGGAUGGUCUGAGAGAUGUGUCCUCACUUUCUUGGAGGACGUCCCUUGUACCACUGCAAAGGACAUCAUGGGCAUGGUUCUGGUCACCCAAUACUUUGACACCAUCAAAGAGAUUGGCGCCGCAUCCAAUUCCUAUUCAGUGUUCAUCCCCCAUGGUCCUGGAGCUGUCAAGGAUGUUGUAUCGUACUACCUCCGUUCCGAAUUAGUCGACUCAGAUUUGUCUAGAUACGGAUAUAUCUAGACAUGUUUUAGUGUUAGAUAGAUCCGUAUCUAGAUAAAUCCAAGUCAACUAAUUUGAAACGGAGGGAGUAGAUAAUAGAGAGGUCCACUGAAUAACUUGAACCCAGGAAACAAGCCUGCUACAACAAUCGCCAUAGCAGAUUCCAGACUAGAGACCCAAAACGCAGGUAAACUUUCUGAAGCCUCUGUCAAGCUAAGGAUCAUAACUGUUUUAGAUAGCAUCAAAGCUGACAAUCAGGAUUAUUCUAGAUUUACCCAGCCCCUAGUGACUUAAAGCAUGCAGUCGACAUCUUAUCCUUUCUCAGAGGCUGCUGUCAUUCGACAUAAAUCAAACACAAGCCAUAGAAAAACACUUUAAUGAUCUCGCGAUAGAAUCAGCAUAACCAUGUUCCAUCAUCAUGCUAUAGGUUCAAAACAGGCAUUCAAGCACAAAUCGUAGCAAACAACUUUGCUUUAUCUUGCUCAUCGUAAUUCAGUCUCACCGAUAUAAACUUGUACUGUCUCACUAUUUAUGCGCAGAAGAAAAUUACGGUAAUAACAUUUGUCCUGCUAGAACUUGCUUCAGUGGAGUCUGAUAUAGGUAUUUAUUCGCAGAAAGGAAAUGCAGAAAUAAGACUGGUAAUGCUGUCGAUUUGCACAGGCGACUUCCGUAGUGUUACUUAGUCUUCUCUUGCAAACACCUGUGAUCACAAGAAAAGUAAUGUCAGCAUAUUAUGUUGGUUUAUUUGUGUAUGUACUAUAAAAUAGCAUGCAACUUAACAUGAACUCUAUUGUUUGGCAGGGAACACCUUUGUGCUGACUAACUGUAACCUAGGAAACAACCAACUGACAUAGCAGAUACAAGAGAAGACCCAAAAUGACAAAUGAACUUAAUGAAGCCUCUGUAUUUCGUGUAAAUACAAUGUUUAACAAAUUAAGAAUCAUGGUUUUUUAGAUAACCCAGGCCCUAAUCAUUAUGCUGCAUACUUCAGUAUUGUCGUUCAUAGAGUAAUUUCAACACAAAAGUGCUUUGCUAGAACCAGCAUUCAUAAUCUGGUUCCAUCAGUAGUCUAUAGGUUCAUAGCAGUCAUUCAAGUCUAAACUGUACUCAUGCAGCAGAGAAGUUACAAAAGAAAAAUUAAGUAGUCUGGGGCAGUCUAAAGUUCUUAAACUUAUAAGACCUUAAUUAAGACCAGAGUUCAGAAGAAAAAGGGACUCUGCUAUAGGUUCAGAACACCAUGGAUUUUAGUUAAGCAGCCUCUCUGCUGAUUUUAGGUGGCAUCUUAUAAUUCAUCAUAGGCUGCUGCGUCCAGUACUGUCAUUCAUUCGACAAUCCAAACACAUGAAAAGGAAUGUCAGUUUACCUUUUUUUAGGUGUACUAUAAAAUUACAUGCAACAUAAGAUAUACAGCAGGCAGUUGUCAUCCUGGCAUUGAUCAUAGGCUGUCCAAGUUCUUUAUGUCAAUCAUAAAAGGCUUCUCUCCAUGUUUUAAUCUAGCAGUCAUUGUAUAAUGCAAAAAUUAACUGGUAGUUGAUCAUAAAAGUGAGAAUCAUGUCAUUUUAAAUUAUGCAGGCCCUAAUCAUAUAUAACUGUGGUAGUUGGUGUCUUGUUGUUUAUCAUAGGCUGCUUCCUCCAAUACUGUCAUUCAUACUUCAAUUCGAACACAAGGCACAGAACAAAUGAAAAGGAAGGCCAGUGUACUAUUUAUUUUGUGUGUACUAUAAAAUUGCAUGAAACAUAAGAUUAACUUUCUAUUGUUUGAUUCACAGGAAACAGCAUGGAUUUUAGUCCCGCCUCUAGACUAACUUGAACCCAGGAAGCCACAAGCAGUUUGCAUCUCGGGUGGUCCACAAUAAAGCUUCCUCUUCUUGGAGGCACGAUGCAACCAUUUCUAUUCUAGCAGUCAUUGUAUAAUGCAGAGAAUGCAUAAUCAUUCAUAAGCAGGUUCCAUCAGUAGUCUAUAGGUUCAUAGCAGUCAUUCAAGUCUAAACUAUACUCAUGCAGGCAGAGAAGUCACGGAAGAAAAAUUGAGUAAUAUGACCUUAAUUAAGACAAGUGUCUGCUAUAGGUUCAGAACACCAUGGAUUUUAGUUAAGCAGCCUCUGCUGAUUAACCGGAAUAGAGGAAACAACCAUGGUAAAAAUGACAGCUAAACAAAGCCAAUGUUUUAGUGUUGAAUUAGACUAACUCUUUAUUUAUUGUUUGAUGACAGGAAACACGGUGGAUUUUAGUCCUGCACCAUCUCUGCUGACUAACUAGAACCCAGGAUACACAACUCUGGGAUACACAACUCUGGCAAUACAAUUGACACAGCAGAUGAACUUUCUGAAACCUGUAACCAUAUACAGCAGGCAGUUGUCAUCUCGGCAUUGAUCAUAGGCUGUCGAAGUGCUUUAUGUCAAUCAUAAAAGGAUUCUCUCCAUGUUCUAAUCUAGCAGGCAGUCAUUUUUAUAA